AUGUUAAUGUGCACACAUGUAGAAAUUAAUCAUGCUAUAUUUUUCUUCCCUAGUAGUGAUCACCACCACGUGGUACAAGGGAAUGAUACAGGAAUGGCACAAUUUAUUCUUCUAGGAUUAUCAGAGGAACUAGAACUGCAACCUCUCAUAUUUGGACUUUUCCUCUUCAUGUUCCUGAUCACUGUGUUUGGGAAUCUGCUCAUCAUUUUUGCCACCAUCUCAGACUCCCACCUCCACAUCCCCAUGUACUUCUUCCUCUCCAACCUGUCCUUUGUAGACAUCUGCUUCAUCUCCACCACCAUCCCAAAGAUGCUAAUGAACAUACAGACACAGAGCAAAGACAUUUCCUAUGAAGGCUGCAUCACCCAGAUGCAUUUUUACAUACUGUUUGUAGAGCUGGAAAACUUAAUUCUAACUGUCAUGUCCUAUGAUCGCUUCAUAGCCAUCUGUGACCCCCUGCACUACACAGUCAUCAUGAGCCCUAUUCUCUGUGGACAGAUGGUGCUCCUAUCCUGGAUGAUGAGUGCCCUGAAUUCCUUAGUACAAAGCUUACUGGUACUGAGACUGUAUUUUUGUACAGUCUUGGAAAUCCCCCACUUUUUCUGUGACUUGAAAGAAGUACUCCGACUUGCUUGUUCUGACGCUGUUCUUAAUAACGCUGUGAUGUAUUUUGCAGUUGGGCUCUUUGGUGCCGUCCCCCUGGCUGGUGUAUGUUACUCAUACUCUAGGAUAGUUUCCUCCAUAUGUAGAAUCUCAUCAGCUGAGGGGAAGUAUAAAGCAUUUUCCACCUGUGCAUCUCAUCUCUCUGUUGCUUCCUUAUUUUAUUGUACGGGUUUAGGAUUGUAUCUUAGCUCUACUGCUCCCCACAGCUCACAUUCAAGUGCAACAGCCUCGGUGAUAUACACUGUGGUCACACCCAUGCUGAACCCUUUCAUCUACAGUCUGAGAAAUAAAGAUGUAAAGAGGGCUCUGAGAAGAUUCUUUGGAGUGGCAGCUAUGAAAGGGCCAUUUGUCCUGGGGCUGAGGUAG
rnacentral:lncRNA from 1 species